AGUUGUCGUGACAGUGUGCGUGUUGAUUCGAUCCACAAUCGGGUCACAACAUUGUCGACACUUACGAUACUUGUAUUAUCAUUUCGGUGUACCCUGCAACCUUAUGCUAGAAACUGUGAAGUAAAUAUAAAUAAAAUGAUGAACUGUA
rnacentral:lncRNA from 1 species